rnacentral:lncRNA from 1 species
GGGGUACAAUUCAAGGGGCCAAGAGGCAGGCUCCAGGAGCCCGGGGUGCUCACGUCCCCUGCUCCUCACUCUGUAACUGCAUCCUGCAAGUCCUGCUCCCAACAGCCUAACUUUAGAGGGCAAACAAAUUCAAUCGGGUAGUCAUUGAGUGCCCCUUUGAAAGACUUCCUGGUGAGUUCAUGGGUGGGCUGUGUCUGUUACAUGCUGUGCUGCACAGGGUGUGUCCCAAAGGUGAUACUGAUGAGGCUGCCUUCAUCAAUGUCAGCCCAAGGAGCCACAUCCACUCCCAAGCAAGUGUGCACCACCAGUCACUGUGCAA